AGGCUCGUAGUUAAACGGUAUAACAGAGGUCUCCAAAACCUCUAUUAGGGGUUCGAUUCCCUUCGAGCCUG
rnacentral:tRNA from 1 species